rnacentral:rRNA from 1 species
UGAACCGUAACUUCGGGAUAAGGUUCGCCUACGCAAGUAGGCCGCAGUGAAGAGGGGGUUGCGACUGUUUAUCAAAAACACAGCACUCUGCAAACACGAAAGUGGACGUAUAGGGUGUGACUCCUGCCCGGUGCUGGAAGGUUAAUUGAUGGGGUCAGCCGCAAGGCGAAGCUCUUGAUCGAAGCCCCAGUAAACGGCGGCCGUAACGAUAACGGUCCUAAGGUAGCGAAAUUCCUUGUCGGGUAAGUUCCGACCUGCACGAAUGGAGUAACGAUUUCCCUACUGUCUCCACCAUGAACUCGGUGAAAUUGCAUUACGAGUAAAGAUGCUCGUUACGCGCAGCAGGACGGAAAGACCCCGGGACCUUUACUAUAGUUUGGUAUUGGUGAUUGGGACGGUUUGUGUAGGAUAGGUGGGAGACGUUGAUGCGGCCACGCUAGUGGUGGUGGAGUCGUUGGUGAAAUACCACUCUGAUUGUUCUGGUUAUCUCACUGUGGACCGUGAUCCGGUUCAAGGACAGUGCCUGAUGGGUAGUUUGACUGGGGCGGUCGCCUCCUAAAGGGUAACGGAGGCGCCCAAAGGUUCCCUCAGCCUGGUUGGCAAUCAGGUGUUUAGAGUGUAAGUGCACAAGGGAGCUUGACUGCGAGACUUACAAGUCGAGCAGGGACGAAAGUCGGGACUAGUGAUCUGACGGUGGCUUGUGGAUGCGCCGUCACUCAACGGAUAAAAGGUACCCCGGGGAUAACAGGCUGAUCUUCCCCAAGAGUCCAUAUCGACGGGAUGGUUUGGCACCUCGAUGUCGGCUCGUCGCAUCCUGGGGCUGGAGUUGGUCCCAAGGGUUAGGCUGUUCGCCUAUUAAAGCGGUACGCGAGCUGGGU